rnacentral:rRNA from 1 species
UACAGAGGGGGCAAGCGUUGUUCGGAAUUACUGGGCGUAAAGGGCGCGUAGGCGGCCUGUUAAGUCGAACGUGAAAUCCCCGGGCUCAACCCGGGAACUGCGUCCGAUACUGGCAGGCUUGAAUCCGGGAGAGGGAUGCGGAAUUCCAGGUGUAGCGGUGAAAUGCGUAGAUAUCUGGAGGAAUACCGGUGGCGAAGGCAGCCCCCUGGGCUAACACUGACGCUCAUGCACGAAAGCGUGGGGAGCAAACAGG